CCCGGAGCCACCGCUAUCGCCACGUUCCCCACCGCGAAGGGCCGGGCGGGGUCCCGCAGCACCUGCCGGUUUGCACAACGUAGCCGCGGGGCAGCCCCCGCCCGAGCGCCCCUCGAAAAGUCAAGUUUAAGUUCUGCAGAGCGACUGGAACACGAGAGCGCGGACGGUCCCGCAUCGGUGUGAGCUGAAAGAGCCGCACAGACACCGACAGGCAGCGGUGGGAUGGAUGAAGGAAACUCGAAAACACCGGAGUUAAACAAAUGAGAUUCAUCCAUCAAUAGUGCCGGUGGGGAGAAGAGGAAAGGACAGACAGGAAAGAAACGGAUCAAUCCAUGAACAUGACCAAUAACAUCGGGGUUUGUGCUUUAACAAAAUGACCAUUUUCCCACAGUAGCAAGAUACAGGAACUUCUUAAUUAAUUCUGCCAAUGUAUCACCAUAUGACUGGAGCUGCAAUUCCGAAGCUGAGGCACAGAACAGGGUUUCCCGGCUCCUGGAGAUCCCUGGAUCCCACUUCGCAUUCACCAUACGGAGCUGGUACACACUCUGGGAAGGAGCUGGUUACCUGCCCUUACAAAAUCACUCCAAAGGGUGACAGGCCAGCUACUGCAUUCUCGAACAACUCACCCAGAGCUUGCAGCCAUGAUCAAACCUGUUCUGCCGGGAGGAUGGCUCAGCAGUUCCCCAGACUUUGUUUUCACCAGCAGGUGUUGCUUAUGCUUCAAACUAAACAUGGAGGGAGAAACAAAGAUGUCAGGAGGCUAAAGCAAAGCUAGAAUGCCAAGCAGUUGCUUGGGUUGAUUUUGUCUUCAUGUACGAUCGCUGUGCUCUACUUUCAAGUACCUCCAAGUCAUGAAAGGAAUAUUCACUUGAGGAAUCCAACUGGGUUGAGCACUGGAUUCAGACAGGGUUCUCCCAGCACUGGGUAUAGGGAGUUUGGCCUUUCUUCCACCAGUAGCAGAAGUGGAGUUCAGCCAAGUUUUGCCGGUGUCAAAAAGAAGCAGCGUUUGUCAUUUCAUGUCAAAGACAUCUCAUUGCUAGGUAAAACCUAUUUUUCCACAUGUUUGAGUUAGACGUGAUGGUUAUUCACUGGCACAAAUUCCAGCAUCUAGUUUAGCCAAGUGUCAUUUUUACUGGUUUCUAGAGUUUCCUCCCCAGUUACCUACAAUUCCCAGUAAGGGGAAGGACAGGGGAGGGGAGAAUGAUCUGAGACCCAGAUUAUGAACAGAAUACAAGGAAAUGGUCUUUAACUAUUCUACAUAUCAAAAAGCAACAAAGAAAAGAACUUUCUUUCCCCCCUGCUCCUGAGUUGCUCUUCAACACAUUCUACUGAAGGUAGUAAUUUUAUUGGUGAUUAACAAAACUGGAAGAACUUUACAAGUUCUUUAUCCAUGAUUUAUGUAGUUUGUUAUCGCAUGUUCUUGUACUCUAGUGCAGAUGAACAGCCACAUUUCAGGUGUCCUUCCAGUGCUCUCACUGUCUGCUUUUUAUGGUGCUGUAUUAAUUUCUAAACUGUUUUUAGUUCAUCCAGUAAUCACAUUUUUUGGUCAAGUGUUUAUAAAUAAAAACUCAUUUUGGUUUUAAACUGAAAACCUUUCCUUCCACAAACUGAAGAUUUAAGAGGAAAAAAUACCCCAAAGAACCAAAGUAGUUCACUGGCAUAAAGAAAUUAACAGCAUCUAAUUUUAACACAAAACAUGAUUAAAGAUUUUCACACAUUA